ACGUAGGGUGCGAGCGUUAAUCGGAAUUACUGGGCGUAAAGCGCGUGCAGGCGGUUCAUUAAGACAGGUGUGAAAGCCCCGGGCUUAACCUGGGAACUGCGUUUGAAACUGGUGAACUAGAGUACUGCAGAGGGGGGUGGAAUUUCAGGUGUAGCGGUGAAAUGCGUAGAGAUGUGGAGGAAUACCGAUGGCGAAGGCAGCCCCCUGGACCGAUACUGACGCUCA
rnacentral:rRNA from 1 species